CAAUCACUACAGCAAAUGGCUUCCGACACGAACAAGCCUGGAUUUGCCUAAACAUCUGGGCCUCUUUGUAGACUUAGGUCAAUGACCCUGCUCGCCAGGGCCAGUAGGGGCAGCUUCUGCAGCUGCCGAUGUGUGCUCAGAACCAGUGUCCUGGGGCCGGCCCAUGGCCGAGUGGUUAAGUUCACACGUUCUGCUUCGGCGGCCCAGGGUUUCACUGGUUCGGAUCCUGGGCGCGGACAUGGCGCCACUCAUCAAGCCAUGCUGAGGCAGCAUCCCCCAUGCCACAACUAGAAGGACCUGCAACUAAGAUACACAAGAACCUUGCGCUCUAGCUAUACGGAUUAAAUAAGGAUGAACCACUCUUAAACGUGUUCCGAGCACUCCUGAUUCAGUGUCUUCUUUCACCUUGACAUUGUCAGCUCCUGGAGGACAGAGAUGAUGCCUCGUAAGUGUUUAUAUUCCCAGUGGUUCACACUUAGUACUUUUUUUGAUGUACCUAUCUGCUUGAAUUUUCAGAACAGUUGCUCAGUUAUAAAGAGUGUUGAAAAUUCUAAAGCUUGGACCUUUUCCCUUUUCCAUGAUAUCAAAAAAUUCUGUUUCCUAUCUUUAUUUAGUAGACAGUAGCAGCAUUCUCAAAAUUUUCCUGUGGUCCAGUCCCAGCUCUCUCAUUCCUCCUCUUUUCCUCUCCGUUACCUCUCUAUUACUGAAUUAACAAGUGCUGAGCUAGGAAGUGUAAACCAUUUGGAAAACAAAUGUUUGGUACUUAGGAGCAAAAGAAGAUACUUAAAGUGUGAUUUAUCACAUGUGAAUUUCAUCCCGAACAACAAACGGAGAUGGGGGUAUGUCGUACAGUGGUGCGGACCACACCCUGCCGGCUUCAGUCAAAAUCCCGGACAGC
rnacentral:lncRNA from 1 species